CACAUAGAGGAAGCUGAAAACGGGCAGAGGAAGAAAAUUGAGAAAGAAAAUGGAAAAAAAUAAAGGAAAGAAGAAGAAAGAAAAGGAAGCAAGAAGAAAAAAGAAAAAGAUUAAGAUAAACGAGCACCAUUGUCAGUUGAAGUUCCUUGACUGGUUACUUUCCAUUUACAUUAAGGUAAGAAAUACCAUUUUUUGCAAACCCUAGAUUUUAAUUGGAUUCUUAGAUAUCUAUGAUUAGUAGAAAUAAAGGUGUUAAUUGAGAUGAUUGUAUGAAAUUAUGAGUUAUGAGCAGAAAUGUAAAGCUAAAUUGGUGCAAGUGGGAUUUUAUGCGUUUACUAGAAUGGAAGAUAGAAUAAUUAUUUUUACGCUUGGGAUGAAUGUAAUUUCAAUAGAUUAGGUACUAGUCAAGGUGUUAAUAGGUGGAAUUAGUUCCAAUUGUAAAAGAAAUUGAAAAAUUUACUCCAAGUGCCGAGAAUUCAAGUCCUAGUAUUCCAUAUUUAAUUGUUAUGGGUACUUGGUAUGGUGAUUGUUAAACUAGUUAUCUUGUAUCGUAUUUUAGGUGAUGACGAAGAGAUUGGAAAAACUUACCGACCAUUCUAAACUGUGGCUUGUAUUUUGUGAGCGAAAAAACUUAUUUUUCAAAAAUAUAUUAAAUUUAUACCCGAACAGAAAAAUAUUUCAUAUAGUUGGUUUGAGAGCAUGAUUUUCAUAUUAAAGUGGAUUUUAUAGUCGGUUAUUUUAAAGUUAAAUUCAGUUCAGUUAAAUCAUUUUAUUAGCAUAUUAUAUGAGAAUUAAAUAUUUCAACAUAUCUAAACUUAUUUUUAAAACCAUCAUAAAGUACCCAAAUGAUAAUUUGGAUCUUCCUUUUCGUUAUAUAUUUCUACCUUCGGGCGAACAAAGUUAUCUGGAAUAGGGAUUUCCUUGAUCUCCUAUAAAAAUGGCAAGUUCUCAUCAUCAUCAUCUAGCUCAUAAGAUAUUGCUGGCUUCUCCUCAUACUCCUCUUAAAUGGGAGCAAAUAAGAAUAUUUAAGCAAGCUCCUCGCCUUUCUAUCUUCACAUUGGCGGACGCAUGAAUUUUGAGUUAGUGGGGCACUAUUUUCCUUUCAAAUUUCAAUUGUUAGCAACCAUUGGCGCAAGGCAGAAUGGCAGUCGACGGAUGAACGGUUUUCUUUUCAAACUUUGGUGUUUGCACUUUGCCAUUUGGUUUGUAAUGAGGUAAUGGGUUUACACCUUUUUUUCUGUUUUCAAUUUUCAAUGUUUGUUAAUUAAUGGAAUUGAGAGUUGGCUAGGAAUUGGGUAGGUCAUGUGAGAAUUGGGAGUUGCUUGGGAAUUGGGUGCCGUUUUGCAUAUCAAAAAGGGGAAAAAAAAAUUUAAAAAAAUUAAAAAAACCUGGUGGGUCACGACCUUGUGGGUCCGCCCCUGCAUCUUCAUUAUGAUAGAUAUGAUUAUACAUCCUUCUGUGAGAGCUUACCUCAUCCCCUAGCAUAUUAAACAUGCUUGGAGAUCAGUUGAUUUGACGAUCCUAUCAUCGCUUACAAAGUAGACUAUUUGACAUAUCCGCUAUUCGAACAUUCUGGAGAAUGUUGAUCGGAUGGAAAUAAUUUUCUAUAAGUUCUGAAUUGUUCUCUUUAGAUUCCAAAUUAAAGUCUACCUUUAGAUAAAUUGCCAUCGCUCAUAUGGAGGCAUUCUCAACAAUCAGUACUCUUAAGGCUCUCAACCAUAUCUUGUAUAGUUUUUAUGGUGAAGAUCUUCCAUUGGCAACGAUGCUAGGCAGGAGAGAGCUACGUACAGUUUGAUUGGAGAUUCUUCCCAUUUCCAUUCUGGAUUAAUAUUGUUGUCUUCAUGGUUGUUGCUAGGAAUCUUGAUUUCAAUUUUCAGUGCUUCCACCUUCACGAGAUUCCUAUAGACGAUGAGACCCUGGUUGUCUUUGUCCUGUUUCCUAUAGACAGCACCAAUUUAUUGAUCUUGAGAUUAUAAUCUACAAAUUAUCUCACAUAGCCAGGUAUUUUUUCUUCUUAAACUCAUUGAUUCUAUACUCAAACAAGAGCAAGAAGAGAUGCUUAUUUGAAAGGAGGAUAUUUAAUUUUGCAUGCCUUUACUUGUUCCCAACUCUAUUUAUAGAUUUCAAUUGAGAUCAUGGGGGCAAUUACGUCAUUUGUGUUUAUGCCAUAUGGAAGCAUUUGAUUAGUGAAUUUCUAAUUGAAUUGUUAGCUUUUCACGUUU